rnacentral:sRNA from 1 species
UCACUACAUAUUCUCCGGAGCACAAGGC